rnacentral:snRNA from 1 species
AGCUUUGCGCAGUGGCAGUAUCGUAGCCAGUGAGGUUAAUCCGAGGCACGAUUAUUGCUAGUUGAAAAUUCUUCUCUUUAAGAAGCAUUAACUCACCUAAGAUUUUGAAGUAGACUCAUGUA